UCUGACUUGACCUCUUGAGGA
rnacentral:misc_RNA from 1 species